CCCACAUGGAAAAAUAUUCCUAGUGCAAGUGGGAAUACUCAUAUAUCAUCAAAAAUGGAUUUGAUUCGAAUCCAGUUUAAAGUUGGUUCAAAAUAAUUUUGAAAAGCUGUCAAUUCCAAACUCUUUAGGACUUUUGUACCAAGUCUAAUUUAGAUUUUAGACCUAUUUAAAUCUAAUUAAUUCAAAUCUAAUCUAAAAUUAAUUAAUACUUAAAUUCAAACUUUCAUAUGUUCCAUGAAUCAUAGAUCAAAAACUGUUCAUCCCCGAGAUCAAAUCUGAACCACAUGUGUAGUGCCAGCUAGAUAUAGUCAACUCUUUAAUCUCAUUUGACCCAUACUUUAAUUCUCAAUCAAGUUAGUUUAUGUGUUCAAUCAAGUCAUGUACUUUCAAAUUAGAUAUAUAAACAUAGACCGAUUUUUUUCUACUUUGUCUGACUUGUGUGCAUGACUCCAUAGGUUCAAACAUUAAGUCGGUAGUACAAGAACCAAUUCCUGCAC
rnacentral:lncRNA from 1 species